GGGUGGAAUGGAGCUCGCAUGGUCUUCUGGGAAGCUUUCGCGGUAUGGGAUGGGGUCGCGUCCUAUCAGCUUGACGGCGGGGUAACGGCCCACCGUGGCUUCGACGGGUAGCCGGCCUGAGAGGGCGACCGGCCACAUUGGGACUGAGAUACGGCCCAGACUCCUACGGGAGGCAGCAGUGGGGAAUAUUGCACAAUGGGCGCAAGCCUGAUGCAGCGACGCCGCGUGAGGGAUGGAGGCCUUCGGGUUGUAAACCUCUUUUAUCGGGGAGCAAGCGUGAGUGAGUUUACCCGUUGAAUAAGCACCGGCUAACUACGUGCCAGCAGCCGCGGUAAUACGUAGGGUGCAAGCGUUAUCCGGAAUUAUUGGGCGUAAAGGGCUCGUAGGCGGUUCGUCGCGUCCGGUGUGAAAGUCCAUCGCUUAACGGUGGAUCCGCGCCGGGUACGGGCGGGCUUGAGUGCGGUAGGGGAGACUGGAAUUCCCGGUGUAACGGUGGAAUGUGUAGAUAUCGGAAAGAACACCC
rnacentral:rRNA from 1 species